rnacentral:rRNA from 1 species
UACGUAGGGGGCUAGCGUUGUCCGGAAUCAUUUGGGCGUAAAGGCGCGUGUAGGCGGUCCGGUAAGUCCGCUGUGAAAGUCGAGGGCUCAACCCUCGAAUGCCGGUGGAUACUGUCGGGCUUGAGUACGGGAGAGGCGAGUGGAAUUCCUGGUGUAGCGGUGAAAUGCGCAGAUAUCAGGAGGAACACCGAUUGCGAAGGCAGCUCGCUGGAACGUUACUGACGCUGAGACGCGAAAGCGUGGGGAGCAAACAGG